rnacentral:rRNA from 1 species
UAACGCGUGGAUAACCUGCCGUAUGCAGGGGGAUAACAGUUGGAAACAGCUGCUAAUACCGCAUAAGCGCACAGUACCGCAUGGUACGGUGUGAAAAGAUUUAUCGGCAUACGAUGGAUCCGCGUCCGAUUAGCCAGUUGGCGGGGUAACGGCCCACCAAAGCGACGAUCGGUAGCCGGCCUGAGAGGGCGGACGGCCACAUUGGGACUGAGACACGGCCCAAACUCCUACGGGAGGCAGCAGUGGGGAAUAUUGCACAAUGGGGGAAACCCUGAUGCAGCGACGCCGCGUGAGUGAAGAAGUAUCUCGGUAUGUAAAGCUCUAUCAGCAGGGAAGAAAAUGACGGUACCUGACUAAGAAGCCCCGGCUAACUACGUGCCAGCAGCCGCGGUAAUACGUAGGGGGCAAGCGUUAUCCGGAUUUACUGGGUGUAAAGGGAGCGUAGACGGCGCUGCAAGUCCGGAGUGAAAGCCCAUGGCUUAACCAUGGUACUGCUCUGGAAACUGUGGAGCUUGAGUGCGGGAGGGGCAGGCGGAAUUCCUAGUGUAGCGGUGAAAUGCGUAGAUAUUAGGAGGAACACCGGCGGCGAAGGCGGCCUGCUGGACCGUAACUGACGUUGAGGCUCGAAAGCGUGGGGAGCAAACAGGAUUAGAUACCCUGGUAGU